AACGUAGGGGGCGAGCGUUAUCCGGAAUUAUUGGGCGUAAAGAGUGCGUAGGCGGUUCUUUAAGCGCGGGGUGAAAGGCUAUGGCUUAACCAUAGUUAGCCUUGCGAACUGGGGGACUUGAGUGCAGGAGAGGAAAGCGGAAUUACUAGUGUAGCGGUGAAAUGCGUAGAUAUUAGGAGGAACACCAGUGGCGAAGGCGGCUUUCUGGACUGUAACUGACGCUGAGGCACGAAAGUGUGGGGAGCAAACA
rnacentral:rRNA from 1 species